ACCCUUUGUGUGGUUUUUCAGGCCUGGCCACAGGCAAUUACAAAGGCUUUACCUGGCAGGCCUCACCAGAACGCUGCCCUCCUAACGCCAGAAUGGGGUCACAGCUGUGCAUCGCAGUCUGAAGGAGGAUGCACUCAAGGACCCAGGUCCUCUUUGCUGCUCACAUCCUUCACAUAUUUCCAUCCCAAGCCUAACACCUUCACUCCCAGGUCCUGAGGCUUGGGGUGAGGUCCUCAGAUGCCCCUGCAGAGGCCCCCUUAUGAAGGAAGAAGCGGAAGCCAGGAGGACACUUUCCCUACUCUGGUUUGGUAAGUUUCUGGACUUGAUCUCAAAUAUUAAGAAAUGCCCAUGGAAUGGAAUCUGGGAAUGGAAUGCUCUCAGGCAAGAAACAACUACAGCUGUCCCUCUGUAUCCACAGGGAUUGGUUCCAGGACCUCCCAGGGAUACCAAAAUCCAUGGACGUUCAAGUCCCUUGCAUAAAACAGCAAAGAAUUUGCAUAUGACCUACACACAUCCUCCCAUUUACUUUAAAUCAUCUCUAGAUUACUUAAAAAUACCCAAUAAAUGCUAUGUGAAUAGCUGCCAGCAAGUGGCAAUUCAAGCUUUGCUUUUUGGAAUUUUCUGGAAAAAAAUUUUUUUUUCAGAAUAUCUUUCAUUCACUGUUGGUUGAAUCCAUGGAUGCAGAACCCACAGAUAAGAAAGGUGACUGGAGAGGUCUUUUUCUGUACUCAAUAAAUGGUCUUCAUAUUUCUUAUUUUGUGAUUAUCCCCACUCAUUCAAGAGAAGGAGAAAAAAUCUGCAAGUGUCUAUUUAAAGGAAAAAAUGGUAUGAGAGAGAGGAAGUAAAGAGCAACUUGGCAACGAAUCUACUGUUUUUAAACAAGUCAAUAUUAAACAAACACAUCAAUUUUUACUCUAUUUUUCUCUUUGUAUACAAUUUUCAAUUAAUCUAUACCUGCCUUUCCAAUGUGUUCUUCAAAUGAGCCAUUUCACUAUAAUUUCUGCACUGUUUCAGUAAAUACAUUUGCAUCCUAGCUCUUCUGCAGUGUUGAUUUAAAAUUAAUGACUUGAGAUUACAGUUACUGACAUAAAACCCUUCUCUGUGGGGACAGAAAAGCACAGUAUAAGCAUCUCCCCUCUUUGUCUAUUUCACAGGACAGUUUAAUGCAGAGUUUUAAGGGAUAGAGACAUUGACGCUCCCUGAGCCUCACUGCUCUCCUGAGUUUACUGUGUCACCAUGAAAAGACAUCUGUGUUCUGAUGCUUUUCCUAGAGCCGCACCAAUCCACCCCCUCUCUAUUUUACAGAGCUUGUGAUGCAUGCAUACCAAGACUCUGCAUAUAGAGCAUAAUUAAAACAGGCUUUCCUCCUGGAAGCCAGAAUGUCCUUUCUAUUGCCAGUCCUUAAGACCAGAGGGUGAGGUCUCAGGAUGCUAAUCCCCUUCUGAAGGGUCCAUCUUGCCAUAAUGAAGCCUGAGAAUGCUUAAGAGAUCACCUCCAGUGCACAUCAUUACCAUCUUCAAUACAAGACACUGGAAAUAGGUUUCAGGCAUCCUGUAAGUUUUAAAUAAAUUCCCACAUGAAUUGGAAAUAAAACUUGCCUUUAGACAUGUAGUCAGGAUUUUGACAUAUUCAGUUCAGUUCAGUUCAGUUCAGUCGCUCAGUCAUACCUGACUCUUUGACACCCCAUGAACU
ensembl:lncRNA